rnacentral:rRNA from 1 species
GAUGAACGCUGGCGGCGUGCCUAAUACAUGCAAGUCGAGCGAACGGACGAGAAGCUUGCUUCUCUGAUGUUAGCGGCGGACGGGUGAGUAACACGUGGAUAACCUACCUAUAAGACUGGGAUAACUUCGGGAAACCGGAGCUAAUACCGGAUGAUAUUUUGAACCGCAUGGUUCAAAAGUGAAAGACGGUCUUGCUGUCACUUAUAGAUGGAUCCGCGCUGCAUUAGCUAGUUGGUAAGGUAACGGCUUACCAAGGCAACGAUGCAUAGCCGACCUGAGAGGGUGAUCGGCCACACUGGAACGGAGACACGGUCCAGACUCCUACGGGAGGCAGCAGUAGGGAAUCUGCCGCAAUGGGCGAAAGCCUGACGGAGCAACGCCGCGUGAGUGAUGAAGGUCUUCGGAUCGUAAAACUCUGUUAUUAGGGAAGAACAUAUGUGUAAGUAACUGUGCACAUCUUGACGGUACCUAAUCAGAAAGCCACGGCUAACUACGUG